UACGUAGGGCGCAAGCGUUAUCCGGAAUUAUUGGGCGUAAAGAGCUCGUAGGCGGUUUGUCGCGUCUGCUGUGAAAGCCCGGGGCUUAACCCCGGGUCGGCAGUGGAUACGGGCAGGCUAGAGGUAGGCAGGGGAGAAUGGAAUUCCCGGUGUAGCGGUGAAAUGCGCAGAUAUCAGGAGGAACACCAAUGGCGAAGGCAGCUCGCUGGGACGUGACUGACGCUGAGACGCGAAAGCGUGGGGAGCAAACAGG
rnacentral:rRNA from 1 species